rnacentral:misc_RNA from 1 species
UUUCUAACAUGAAAUGUCAGAAAAUAAGUAUUGAUGAUCUUGAGUGGCAAAGAAAAUUAUUAAAUUGGAGAAGAUGGAGAUCCUUUGUUCUUCAAGAUAACAAAUAAUUUUCUGAUAGCAAUUGAGUUUGAGAAACUAGUGUAAACUGUAGAGAAUAUCUGAUGGAGAGCUAAGCCUUUUGGUGGAAGUAAUAGACUAGAACUUGUGGAUUAUAUGAUUCUACUUUCAUGGUUCUGAUACUGGGAUGCUUCAUGUAAUUUUCUGUAGGUCCCAAAGAACACGAAAUACAUUCAAGCUUCUUGUCUUUGACUUAACUCUUCCUCUUCUUAUGAAGUAGUUUAAUUAUUGAUCACCAGAUACUGAUCUAUAAGUUGUUGAUUGAUCUAACAAGUCUUUAUUCUCUUGCA